UACGGUGAAUACGUUCCCGAACCUUGCACACACCGCCCGUCAAGCCAUGGAAGCCGGGUGUACCUAAAGUCGGUAACCGUAAGGAGCCGCCUAGGGUAAAACUGGUGACUGGGGCU
rnacentral:rRNA from 1 species